rnacentral:lncRNA from 1 species
CUCUCUUCCAUGUCACUUUACUAUAAGCCAUUACAAUAAAACAGAGAAAAUAAAAUGGAGCCACCAGUCCAGUCUUGUAACGAUCACAAACAAUGGCAUUAUCUACUUCGAUAAUCCUAGUGAAGGACGAGUGAGCUCUUUCCCUAAUCUGGCAAGAGGAGGAAACUUUUCCAUCCUCAUCCAUGAUCUGCAGGCUUCAGACAUCGGCACCUAUUUUUGUGAGCUGAACAGUGAAUGCUGGAGGGUGAAGAUCAUGGAAUUGCCAAGUAAGAUUAGUUCUUUCAAAUUUAGCAGGAAUCAUAUAAUGGCCUGUAUUUUAUUGGAGACAAAUAAUAAAUUAAGACAAAAUUAGCUGGAUGAUUUUACAUGUUUUUACAACAUCAUUUGUCUUUUUCAGAAACUGAACAGCUGAACUCUAAUCGCAACUCCUGGUUAUUCUUUUUUGCUGGAGCUGGAAUUUUCACUCUGCUUUUUAUUAUAUUCAAUCGCACUGGCUUACAAACCCGUUUGCAGUCCUCGACAGAAAAAUGCAUGAGAUCAUCCAAAUCUAACUCUACGAAUGAAGAACACCAUGAAGAACAUGGUUCUUCAAGUCAAACAUCUAAUAUCCAACAGCGAGGUGAUUCACCAUUUCUAUUUCCAUUAUACAUAUAUUAUAAAAUAAGAUAUAUGUUUAGUAUGACAAUAAAUUAAGCUCAAAUAAUAAAAUUAGCAAACUAAUACUUUUUUUUUUUUUUAAAUCAGCAUUCAGAAAUCCAGAUCCAAAUGAUUUUACGACAUCUACAGUAUACUAUGGUAAGACACAAUUUGUAUGUGGAUGUUUGGAAAAUGUGUUUUUAAUUAUAAGGUUGAGAAUAUCUAUAAUAACAAAAGAAUAACAAAAUAUCUGUUUGAUAUGUUUUAGUCAUCCAGGCAUAAUACUUCAAUUUAGAAGGUGCCGGCAAGAGGGGAAAAUAAAAAUCAUGAUUUCCUAUUUCAGAUUAUAAUUCUGUUAUUUUGUCUAUCAGUAAAUACUGUUGUCCUUU